GGGGAAAUGGAGACAAGAAGGCAGCUUCAGAAAUGUCAAACGCUUCAGCCUCGCAGACGCUCAGAUUGAAAUAUUUGGCUGGAAAAUAUCAAAAGUCUAAUCAAUUAAGAGGCGUGACCCUGGAACAACCGGACUGUGUCACCCCAUCUGCGCCUCUGCAGAGCCAUGGCGGCCGAGGGGGUGCCUACGGGAUUCAAAACUGGGGCAGAGGCGCGCACCGCCAGAAGCCUUGGCUUGUGGAACCCAAACAAGGUCUUCCACUCAGCACCUCCCAUACUUUUCCCUUUAAGUAUCCAGAUUUGGGAAUGUACCCAAACGAAAGAUAGGGUGGCUUUUUUUUUUUUUAAAUACAUUCAAUAAAAACGACAUUUGGCACAAG
rnacentral:lncRNA from 1 species